rnacentral:lncRNA from 1 species
UGAGCUUGGAGGAGGUGAUCCUUGAAUAUUAACCGGACGAUCAUUUUUUUUCCAAGCUUGCAUUCAGACAAUCCACUGACUCAUGUAGCUGGAGUCUGGCUGAACUCUCACACCCAGGUCACAUCCAAAGCUGCAAGGGUUAAAGAGUCAGGUUUGCCCUGCCCUGCAUAAGGAUGAGUCAGGCAGCAGCUGUUAGCAAUACAAAAGAAUGGGUAAAUGGCCUUGAUGGGCCAUCUAUCUCAAACCUUCUCAAUCAAUUGGACAGACUUUUUGCCCAGCUCAGGGGUCACAGGACCACUGAUAGGUCUGCCAUGGAAAUGCAUGGCCAUGAAUUCUCCCUCCAGGGUCUAUGCAUAGGAAAGACAGAAGCAUGGAAGCGUAAGUGGAAGCAUGGAAGGAAAGCAAGAAGGUCCAAACCAGACAGCAGAGAAUUGCACUCCAUCCCACACAAAACUUCAAGACAGCUGCCAUAUCAGGAAUUGUUCUUCAGUGUAAUGGAAGACAGAAGUAGGGAGCACCAAGUUAGGCUGGAAGUCGUGAAGACUCUAAGAAAGUUGUCCCUAAGGCUCUUGCUGUUGUUCAUCUGGGAUUUCUGAGGUGCACCCCUGCUCCACACAGAGACUCGUUUCUUCCCUGUUACGUGGAACCAAACGAGGACACAUCUUGAAAGGAACCCCGCUGAAGGAACUGCUCCGCCAUCCCACAAAGCAAUGCCGCCGCUCCUCCAACAUGAAGACAGCUUCACACCAAGCUCAGCCUUUCUCCUUCCGAGGUCUCCCGGCUCUCAUGCCAGCACCGUCCCACCACCCAACUCCCACAGCCAGCACCUGACAGCCGCCAUCCCCUGCGCCCCGCGAGGAGCUGCCCGCCCUCAGGCAGCCGUGCGCUCCCUCCGCCCGCAGCGGCAAGGCCAGCCGCACUUUCACGGGUCGCGGGGACGCCGCCGGUGGCUCUGAAGCCAGUGGGACAGCCGAAGGGACCGAAGACGCAGCGACGGCCGGCGGGGGACGAGCCCGUGUGGCGGCUGGGGGCUCACUGACGGGCGGCCUGGGGGCGCAGGCGCCGAGUAACGGCCGAGGACGCGGGGAAGGGGGCGAUGUGCUAGCGGCCGCGCAUGCGCGCUGCUCCAGUCAGCGGCGGGGCGGGGCGCGCUCCCUGCGCUCCUGUCGCAGUUGUGGCGGCGCAGUGCGC